rnacentral:rRNA from 1 species
AAUGAACGCUGGCGGCAGGCCUAACACAUGCAAGUCGAACGAGUGGCGGAAGGGUGAGUAAUGUCUGGGAAACCCCCUGAUCGAGGGGGAUAACUACUGGAAACGGUCGCUAAUACCGCAUAACAUCAUAUGUGCCCAGAUGGGAGUAGCUUGUUGGGGGGGUAACGGCGCACCAAGGCGAGUAUACCUAGCUGGUCUGAGAGGAGGACCAUCCACACUGGAACUUAGACACGGUCCAGACUCCUACGGGAGGCAGCAGUGGGGAAGAUUGCACCAUGGGCGCAAGCCUGAUGCAGCCAUGCCGCGUGUAUGAAGAAGGCCUUCGGGUUGUAGAGUACUUUCAGCGGGUAGGCGUUAGCCGCAGAAGAAGCACCGGCUAACGCCGGGCCAGCAGCCGCGGUAAUAC